UACAGAGGUCUCAAGCGUUGUUCGGAUUCAUUGGGCGUAAAGGGUGUGUAGGUGGCGCCGUAAGUCGGGUGUGAAAUUUCGGAGCUUAACUCCGAAACUGCAUUCGAUACUGCGGUGCUUGAGGACUGGAGAGGAGACUGGAAUUCAUGGUGUAGCAGUGAAAUGCGCAGAUAUCGGGAGGAACACCGGUGGCGAAGGCGGUUCUCUGGGCCUGACCUGACGCUGAGGAGCGAAAGCGUGGGGAGCGAACAGG
rnacentral:rRNA from 1 species